GAUGAACGCUGGCGGCGUGCUUAACACAUGCAAGUCGAACGAAGCACUCUAUUUGAUUUUCUUCGGAGAUGAAGAUUUUGUGACUGAGUGGCGGACGGGUGAGUAACGCGUGGGUAACCUGCCUCAUACAGGGGGAUAACAGUUGGAAACGACUGCUAAUACCGCAUAAGCGCACAGGAUCGCAUGGUUCGGUGUGAAAAACUCCGGUGGUAUGAGAUGGACCCGCGUCUGAUUAGCCAGUUGGCAGGGUAACGGCCUACCAAAGCGACGAUCAGUAGCCGACCUGAGAGGGUGACCGGCCACAUUGGGACUGAGGCACGGCCCAAACUCCUACGGGAGGCAGCAGUGGGGAAUAUUGCACAAUGGGGGAAACCCUGAUGCAGCGACGCCGCGUGAGCGAAGAAGUAUUUCGGUAUGUAAAGCUCUAUCAGCAGGGAAGAAGAAUGACG
rnacentral:rRNA from 1 species